ensembl:lncRNA
AGCUGACACUGGGCUGAAGCCUCUACAAACUGAGCUGAAAUCAAUCUUUCCUCCUUUAACUUGAAUUCCUCACAUUGAAACUAAUUGCAGUUUCCAGUUGACCAGCAUUCAUAGGAACCAUUACCCCUCUACAGUUUUGAAUAGGAAAUUGCCAAAAGGUAGAUACACAUCUCUGUUCUUCUUUGGUUUUCUCUGUAUUAUUUGACAACGAUGUCAGGUUCUUUCCUUGAAACUCUUAAUUUGUGAGUACCAUAAAUGCAUGCCUGAAAUCCUAGCUAUUCAGGAGGCUGAGGUAGGAGAAUCACAAGUUCAAGGCUAGCCAGGGCAAGUUAGUGAGAUGCUGUCUAACAUAAAAAGAGCUGAAGGUAUAGCUCAUCACUUCCUCGUUCAAUCCCUGAUAUUGAGGAAAAUGUUUUAAAAAUAAAAAUUAAAAGCUUCUCCUUUAUCUCAGUGACACUGCUUCUCUAUCCUCUUUUACACUUUCUAAUGAUCCUUCCUCAUCUGGACAGAGAUUCUAUCCUUCACUAGUGCCAGCUGGUGACUGAGGUGCUUCAGAUCUUCUGGCCACCCCAGCAACCCAGCCCUUACCAUAUGACACAUGACUGCCACAGAACAAUGAGAAAUAAUGUAUUGUUACUUUAGCCAAUAAGAUUUGAUGUGGUUUGUUACGUAGAAUAAGAAACCAAACACCAAAAUUGUACCUAGAAGUGAGGUGCUGCCAUAACAAAAUAUGUGGCAUUAGUUUUGGAGUGGGUGGUAGAGAAGGCCUUAAGUGGAGUAAGAAUACUAUUAAUGGUGACUGAAGGUCAGUGAGGAAAUUGCCACUGGAGAUGUAAAAUGGUACCCUUGUUUUAAUAUUGACAAAAAAAUUAGCAAAAGCAUCACAUGAUAACAUGUGACAUAGAAAGUUAUUGUAACAACAUGCAGGAAACACACAUGUAACAGAACUGUGUUAUGUACAUGGAUAAAACAGAAACAUGUAGAAUAGAAAAACUAAUGAACUUGUGGAUCUAAGAUUUUUCAACAGAAUAUUGGAAGCAGCAACUGGUUCCCUUUUUAAGCCCUCUAUGACCAUAGUAUAAUAAGUGGUGGAUUAAGAAGAAACUGCUCAGAUUUUACUAAAUUUUAGAGGAAAUAUUUCUAAUCCUGAAUUUGCUAGGGUUGUAAAUAGAACUAUUUCUCAUCUCCAGCUUUUCCACACUACAAAAAGUACUCAAAGAAAGAAAUGGUCUCAUGUCCAAAGAUCAGAUCCAGAGCACUACUGCCAAUACAACGUGACCUCAAAGUAAAAAUAAAAAGCAAAGGCACAGCUGUCACACCCUGUAUUAAAACUUCAAAAAAUUUAAGGCUGUUCCUCCUGGGUCCUCUCAGCUAGAUGGAAGAAAGGGCCAUUAAGACUUAAGAAUGCCGGCCGAGGAUUUAGCUCAGUGGUGCCGCUGCCUGCCCCCGCAAGCGCAAGGACCUGAGCUUGAUGCCCGGUACCAAAAAAAGAUUUAAGAAUCUCAGGGGCAUUGUCCUCUCCUGGACUUAAUUUAGAUGGCACAGUCCUGGACUUUGGACCUGAAUUGGGUGCCCUGGUGGAGUGCAACUUUUGGGAGAGGGUUAGUAGGCUUUGUAUGCAGGAGGAAAAUAAAUCAUCUAUGGCCAGAGGGUAGGCUGUGGUAGAAUAAAAAUGGCUGCAAGUUCUUUGCCAUUCUUGGCACUGAAAGGUACAGCCUGCUGCUUUUCCUGUAGAAUCUGGCCUGGCCUUGUGACUCUUGAUUAAAAGAUUUUGUAAAAUAUAGCUCUUUGUGGCUUCAAAUGCUACGACUUGAAAGAUCUGUGGCUUUGACGUAUGGGUGUGUAAUGGACUUAGAACCCACCAUGCUCUUUGAAGACACACAAAGUACCACGUGGAAUCUUAUAUGAAGACGUUAUCAGCCAGCUCCCGGUGACUACCAUUAUGAUGAAUGAGUCCAUUUUGGUCCUUCCAGUCAUCAUUCUGCUAGCCAGUACUGUGAAGUAGAAGACCUCUCACAGAAACUUGAGAAAUAAAACCUUAAUUUUUUAAAAGCCAUCAGCGUUUGGAGCAUGCAAUCCUUCCUUACAUGAUGCUGAGUUCUAGCCACAUGGCUCCCAAGACCAGUUCAAAGCCUCUGUCACCUUGAAUAACUUUAUGCUUUAUUUAGCAUAAACAAGUGGGGAAAAUUAAUCAGAAAUACUCAUAUGUUGUUUCCUAGAGAGAGAUCUCAAAAAGAUAAAUUUAAAUUUGUUAGAUGUAGGCGAGACCCAAGAAACAUAUUGAUAGGAAGUAGCACGAAACAUUUUUGAGGAAUAUAAGAUGAUUUUGAAAUCAGUUUUUAGGAGAGUAGUGUAGAGAACUCCCACUUUCAGUGCCUGGAAUCAGAGACAGAUCUUUGAAGUAGCAUCCAGCUCUCAUCAUAUAAUGACUCUAAAUACCAUCUGAUCAUCAUUUGUUUAUUUUUUUCACUGGUUAUUUUGGAAAUGCUUUCAAAGUAAAAUAAGGACUACUGGGAAAUAAAAAUGCCUAACUUGAGUAUUGUUAUUUCAGUCUCAGAGAUUUUGUGAUGAGAUUGUCGGAUGAGUUCAUGUGCUUUAAAAAGCUUUUAUGACUUUUUAGUGAUAUUUAAAAGUUAAAGGAAUGAAAUUAGGACCAUAAAAUUCAUUUACUCUUAACAUUGUUUCUUUGAACUGAUUUACUGCAUUUGUAUAUUAGAAAUAGGGAUCUUAAAAAAAAGAAAAGAAAAGAAAAGAAAUAGGGAUCUUAUUUGGAUUGAAUCCACAUUAUUUGGUAAAAUAUGGUCUGGAAAAUGUUUGGGGUACACACAAACAGUAUUAAAGGGCAUAAUGGCUCUAACUCUGGUUAAGCUCUUCAAUUAGAAAAAUUAUC